CUACACGUAUCCAUACACGACCCGAACCCAACACACGCACGCAACCGAACCGACGGACGAAGACGACGACUUCGACUCAACAGCAGCAGCAACACGAACGCUUGUUGAACACCGCACCGUCGAUGGGCCAAAGCAAGAGCCACCUCAACAAGUUGAAACGUGUUGAGGAAUCAGUUUGCUGUCAGCAAUCGUGCCAAUCGGACGUGUUUCCCUGUUAGCUCUUCGCUGCCUGCGAAAGAUAGAAAGCAUUUCCAAGUUAGAUAGACGACGACGAAUUCGCGAGUUGGAAAAGUUCUUUGUUUUCGUUUGUGAGAGAUCCGUGCGUGUCAUACGGAAGUUCCGCGUGUCGGCGUUUUUUCCCCGUGUGCGGGAAAAGUUUUCCACGGUGUGGAACGUUGUGCAAGAACAAGGAUUAUUUUAGCGUGUGUUGUGCGCUGGUGGAAGAAGUUCGUGGUUGUUUAUACCGUGAAAGCUGUGAAGGAGAGAGUGACAUUGACUGAUUUUUUUUAUCGAAAAAUCGAAAAGUGAAGACUGAUUUUUGCGGUUUGAGUUAUUAAAAGUGGGACCAAUAAACAAUGGCUGUGGCGUUUUAUAUUCCCUCGGUGGACGAGGAUGAACCGGUGAAGCCUAAUUCGCCGCACCCUCAACAGGUCGGUGGGGGCCAGCACCAGCAAGCGUCUAAUCAAACGACCGGUUCGAACGUGUCGCAACAAGUCCGUGCGGAGGCGGAGGCGGUGGCAGAGUACCAAAGGCAACACCUGAUAGCGGUGUUCCACGAGAUUUUGGUGGCUUACGCGAGAGAAGCGGCCCUCGCGCAGCACUCGCCAAACCCCAAAGCCCUACCGCCCACCACCGAGCCGUGCCUGCUGUGUAAAAAGCUCUGCUAUCUGUUCCGGCGGUUCUACUGACAACAUCAUCGGUGCCAGACGACUGCCGCCGCUGCUGCCGCCACCGUCCUACUAGAUAGCCGGUGCUGGUGCUGGUGCACCAUCAGCACCACCAUCGACGAUAACAUUAGCCAAAAACGUGCCAGGACUACUGAUACUACUACUACUACCACUACCACUACUUCAACAACCACUAGGAAUAAACGAGAGGAGCCUUCGGGUCGUCAUCGUCGGAGCAGGCGGAAGCCGACGGCGGUGGCACGGCAGCAAAAGCACCAGCGAGAAACUAGGUCAAGGACGAUGGAGACUGGUGCUUUCACGACCACCAGCAAGGUCACUGGUGCUGCCACCACCGAUGACGACGACGACUCUGUGGGCGCCGAUGGAACUGUUAGCUGUAAGCGUCGUCGUAAAUGGAGCGAGUUGUGAAUUUUUGGUGCUAUUAAAUUAAGCUUGACGAGAGAUUGCGAUACGACGGAAUGAUUCAUCCGUUUUGGCGCUCUCUCCUCGUGUUGCACACGCCUCUCGCUCUCCCUAGCUCCGAUGGAGCGAGCGUUGGAGCAGUGCGUGCGUAUGUGAGUCGGAACAGAGCGAGUCGUGUUGAAUCGUGUUGUCGAUGGGUCGUCUCCUGCCGGAAAACAUUAGAAAAGUGUUUGGAUUUUGAUCGGAAAAGAUGGUGCAAGAGUGGCGGGCUUCGGGUUCUUCGCUGAAUCCGGACCCGAGCUCGAACCCGGAUGAUGGCUGUUGAGGAUGGUUUCGUAACUAGGCAACAAACGCAAAUACGCAAAACGUCAAAUUGUUUGUUGAUAAUUGAAUUUUUGGAAGCAUUUUUUUGGAGCGAACAAACUACGAGCAAUUAUACAAAUUACGAAAAAAAAACCUUGUACAUAAAGCAGUUAUUCUCGAGACCCCUCUCUCUCUGUAUCUAUAUACUUCAAGUAAGUUCAUCGGAAUAGCUGUGACAAACCAAAGCAUCUGAUCAAAAGACAAAACAAAACCACGUUUUUCUCACGAUAUUUCUUAGCGUGUAAGCCCAUUUCGAAUCUUGUCGCGACAAGACCCGAACAAACUAACAAAUAACUAUUUAUACCAUUAUCGAAUUAUAACGAACAGAAAAAGACAAACUAGUAGAUGAAGCUGUUAGUUGUUUAAGCGAAUUGAAGAAAAAACAAAAGCAUAUUGUGACCCCCCUCUAGCAAGUAAGGCCCCUCCCCGAUCCAAAGUGGAAAGGCGGAAAACAAAACAAAGACAAGCGCAAUUGUGAUAUCAUGAAUUCUUUUUUCUUAAUUUUUAAAGUGCGAAAUAUUUCUAUACACAAACAAACAGAACAAAACGCAAACAAAGAAAAACGAAGCACUCAAGGUUGCCGUAGAAGCGAGGAACAAAGACAAAACGGUUAUAAACGGUAGGAAUCGAAGCGAUUUAAAAACACAAAAAUAAGAGCAAACGGAAACCGCGGCUGCCGCGUUUUACGCCUCCCGAUAUAGAGAUACACUGUAAAUAUUUAUUUUAAAAAUUGACAAAAAAGAGUAACGAACGACAAAUUAGGACUACGGUGUCUACUUAUAUAUACUUCAUAUACUUACAAAAAAAAAUCAUACAACUAUAUUUAACUUUGUGACGUAAGGUUUCUUCGUAUGUAUUUUUCUGCUUUUGACUUUUUAAUACGCGCACGUUUCCCUCCCCCCGAAAUGGGAGAAUUUAAUUGUGGUAGUGUUGUAUUGGUACAAUAAGCAAGCAUUUGUAGGUUUAAGGCCCCAUUAAACAAAAGAAAAACACAAAAAAGUCAACAAUCAAUUUCAACUUCAACUUCUUCUUAAGUAAUUACGAUGAGUAGAUUUUAAAGCGAUCGCGUUUACCUAGGUAAGAACUUGUGCUACUACCAUACAUAUGUAUUUGUAAAUCGAACUCAAUCAAAAAUCCAAUACGACGACGACGCGUUUGUUUGUACAUAAUUUAUUUGGAGCUUUCGUCCACCAGGCCUGCAGACGGGUGGGCGAAAGUUUGGCAUUUGUUAGACCAAAAAGUAAUGUGAGAAAAAAUAGUUUGAUGAAACGAACAAAAAAAAAUAAUGUAACUAAUUUGCCUAAAGCAGUACUGUCAUUAGUUUAAUUUCCAUUGAUUCCUCAGUUUACCAUUAAUUGUAUAUUUUUUGUUUGUUGCAUACUCGAAUGAACGAAUGGAAUGAGAAGGUGGUUUUUUGAAUAAAUCAAAACGAGAAUGGUUUCGAUAAAUGACGAAAAA